rnacentral:rRNA from 1 species
GGGGGGGUUUGGUUUGGGGAUUGGACUGGGCGUAAAGGGCGUGUAGGCGGUUGGUCAAGUCUGAUGUGAAAGCCCGAGGCUCAGCUUCGGAAGUGCAUCAGAAACUAGCCAGCUGGAGCGCGAUAGAGGAGGGCGGAAUUCCUGGUGUAGCGGUGAAAUGCGCAGAUAUCAGGAGGAACACCGGUGGCGAAGGCGGGUCUCUGGGCCGGAACUGACGCUGAGGAGCGAAAGCGUGGGGAGCGAACAGGAUUAGAUACCCUGGUAGUCCACGCCGUAAACGUUGGGCGCUAGGUGUGGGGGGUUUUCUACACCCUCCGUGCCGCAGCUAACGCAUUAAGCGCCCCGCCUGGGGAGUACGGCCGCAAGGCUAAAACUCAAAGGAAUUGACGGGGGCCCGCACAAGCGGCGGAGCAUGUGGCUUAAUUCGACGCAACGCGAAGAACCUUACCAAGGCUUGACAUGCAGGGAAAACUCGUAGAGAUACGGGGUCCGCAAGGGCCUUGCACAGGUGGUGCAUGGUUGUCGUCAGCUCGUGUCGUGAGAUGUUGGGUUAAGUCCCGCAACGAGCGCAACCCUCGUCCUAUGUUGCCAGCGGGUAAUGCCGGGGACUCAUAGGAGACUGCCGGGGUCAACUCGGAGGAAGGUGGGGAUGACGUCAAAUCAUCAUGCCCCUUAUGUCUUGGGCUGCACACAUGCUACAAUGGCCGGUACAAAGGGCUGCGAUACCGCAAGGUGGAGCGAAUCCCAAAAAGCCGGUCUCAGUUCGGAUCGGGGUCUGCAACUCGACCCCGUGAAGUCGGAGUCGCUAGUAAUCGCAGAUCAGCAACGCUGCGGUGAAUACGUUCCCGGGCCUUGUACACACCGCCCGUCACGUCACGAAAGUCGGUAACACCCGAAGCCGGUGGCCCAACCCGCAAGGGAGGGAGCCGUCGAAGGUGGGACCGGCGAUUGGGACGAAGUCGUAACAAGGUAACC